UUCCGGUUGAUCCCGCCGGAGGCGACCGCUUUGGGAAUUCGAUUAAGCCAUGCGAGUCGUGAGUCUUAGGGACUCGGCAUACUGCUCAGUAACACGUGGAUAACCUGCCCUACCGUCUGGAAUAACCUCGGGAAACUGAGAAUAAGGCCGGAUAGUUCACAAUGCCCGGAACGGUUUGUGAAUCAAGGUAGGAUGGGUCUGCGGCGUAUCAGGUUGUAGGGGGUGUAAAGGACCCCCUAGCCUUCGACGCGUACGGGUGUUGGGAGACAUAGCCCGGAGAUGGAUUCUGAGACACGAAUCCAGACCCUACGGGGUGCAGCAGGCGCGAAAACUUCACACUGCAGGAAACUGUGAUGAGGGAACUCCUAGUGCAUGCACUAUGUGUAUGUAGAUCCUACUCUUAACAAGUAGAGGGAAAGGGCUGGGAAAGACCGGUGCCAGCCGCCGCGGUAAUACCGGCAGCUCAAGUGGUCGUCGCUUUUAUUGGGCCUAAAACGUCCGUAGCCUGUUUGGUAAAUCUGUGGGUAAAUCAAUCCGCUCAACGGAUUGAAUUCUGCAGAGACUGCCAGACUAGGGACCGGGAGAGGUGUGGGGUACUCGAGGGGUAGGGGUAAAAUCCUGUCAUCCUUCGAGGACCACCAGUUGCGAAGGCGCCACACUGGAACGGAUCCGACGGUCAGGGACGAAGCCUAGGGGCACGAACCGGAUUAGAUACCCGGGUAGUCCUAGGUGUAAACGCUGUGAACUUGGUGUCGGGGGUCCGCAAGGGGUCCCCGGUGCCGGAGUGAAGAUGUUAAGUUCACUGCCUGGGGAGUACGGUCGCAAGGCUGAAACUUAAAGGAAUUGGCGGGGCAGCAC
rnacentral:rRNA from 1 species